UCACACAUACUCCACCGGGGGCAGCAGGGUGGGGGGGGGCAGACUGUAUUUUGCCCUCAGCUUGCCCCCAAGCUCCCUCAUCACUGGCACCUCAUUUUUGACCAGGACGGAGGCCUGUUUCCCUCUGAGAGGUGGGAGGAAGGUUGGAGGGAAGGUCUUCUUUUGCCUCUCCUUUUGGAGGGGGCGCCCUUAUCUGUGGACCUCUGUUGGGAAUAACUGCUCCCGAACUCCCACGGGGGUGGUGGGCUUUGGGGGUUGUCCAGACUCUGCCUAGUGAUGCUGACCUUGCCCGCAGAGGAGCACAGGGGGACAGAGGGUGAAGUCCGGCUGGUUUCUGCUGGGGAGGCAGUUAACAUUUAUAUGUUAACUGCUGAACUUUGGCAUCAGGUGGAGUUUGAACACUGGCUCAGCCAUUCAGUGGCUGUGUGGCCUUGGGGAGGUUGCCUCCCCUUUCAUUGUGAGGAUCACGUGAAAUCUCACUGGGGGCUGUAAGUCUUGGCUACGGCUCUCUGUGACCAACUCCUCAUACAAGGCCGCACCUGGUGCUGCCCUGGCGGGUCCCACCCAUUACGUCCCACACAACUCGGGUGCUGUGCACCUCUCUUGGUCAAUGGCCAGAGCCACAGGGCACUCUUAUUGCACCUGGACUUGCUGCCGUGGGAACGGGCUGUUGUUUGUGCAAACGCCUCGAUGACUUUGAAACGCGACCUCGAACGGGUACCGGGCCCUUUCUGACUUUCACCUGUUGAUUCUGCCCCUUUCCUGUCAGGAGUUGACUGGGCCAUCAGUCUUUAGUGGUUAGAGCAGACGGCACUGACAGUUGACCUGCAGAAACCUCAACCCAGUGAAGGCCUUGUCCCCUUCUCAGCCCGGAUGCCUGCCUCUUCCUCAUCCACUUUCCCCUGGCAACCCUUGGGAGCCCUCCACAAGCCUCCUCUCCCUGCUGCCCAAAAGGAAACAUUUUAUUAACAUGUCUGUUUCCAAUACACUUAUAGGCACGUGGGCCCUUAACCGUAUGUCUGGUCUUAAGACUUCAAAGGGGCCUUGAAAGCCACCUCUCGAUGAGUUUGGUGUAAAAUGAGUCAGGAUUUAAUUUCCCCGAAAAAUUGCACAGCCUUAAAAAUUAGCAGAAUAAACGUAAAUGGCAAAAUGAGGGCUUGAUCCUUGUCGCCCCCUCACACACACACCCAAGUUUGUACUUUAAAAUGGGGAACAAACUCAUUAAUUUAAGUGCUCUUUGGGCUUAAUCUCAGCAUGAUGGAAGCAAGGUCUAGGAGAGGAAUGGAAUCUUUUCAAAUCCCCAUUAACUUGGAGGGGGAAGGGGCUUUGUAAUCAGGGCAUUUCACUAAUGAAAACUCUCUCCCAGAAGCACAUCUUGUUUGGCUAAAUUUUUUCCUCCUCACAAUAGCAAAUCAUAACUUGAAGAGGGAGUAAAAAUGUCCUAUCGCUCAAGGCAAGCCCAAAUUGGAUGUUUUCGCUCCAGCUUUGUCCUAAGGAUGCUGACCAAACACGGUGGGAGGAAUCUAUUAAACAAAGGGAUCCUUUUUGCUUUGUGAUAAGUCUUUUGUCUGGGUUCCUGAGCCCACAGGGGACCAACUCACAUGCAAGGAAUUUAGGGUGGCCCACCCCACGCCCCUUCUCUCUCCCUCAAGAGCUCUCCAAAGCAGGCAGGCAGGAGAUAGGGGAUUUACGAGCCUGGCCUGUGGCUCACACCCAAGGGUGUUACGUGUUUCAGACUUGCUUAUCUCCCCAAGGACAAAGCUCAAAGAUGAAAGAGUCUUGGAGCCUCGUACUGACCACAUGACUCCCUCUGCCAUAACCACCGCCUUCCCAAGACAUCAGGAUGCCUCUCCCAGUCGCCACUGACGUUCUUAGCGCAAAGCUGAUGCUGAACGCUGGUGGGGUGGUCCCUGAGAAAGAGGAAAUCUUGGAGGCAGCGCCACGCCCCGGAAAUGCCAGCCUCCGGCAUUGGGCGUUGUGGCAGCAGAGUAUCCUGGUGUGUGAGAAACACUCAGAAAGCAGUGGGUCAGGUGCUGCAGGUUCAAGUCCAGACCCCAAUCCCAGGUCUGCGGCUUACUGGCUCAGACACCAGCUGGCUCUUAAUCUCCCCAUAUAUCCCAAACUUCUUUAUAGUCCUCAUUUUACAGCUGGGAAAACUGAGGCACAGAGAGCAGUCUAGAUAGCCUUACCGUUUCUUGCCCUGCAGACUGGGAGACCCAAUCUGGAACAUUCUUCCUCUACUCUUUGCCUGGCCAAUUCACAUUCAUAGUUCAGAUCUCAAAGGGCACCUCCUCCAAGAAGCCUCUGUGUCUCAGUGCCGUCAUCCGUACAAUGGGAAAGUAGAAAACUUCCUUUCUAAGAUUAACCUCCAGAAAGAUCUCCCAGUACAACCAUCCUCCAAAUGACUGGCCAAAUCCUUCCCCACCCAGAGCUGCUGGAAGAGGAGCUGCCUGAGUGUGUUGGGGAGACUCGGCUCCCCCAGGCAAAGUGAAAGGGGUACCUCAAUGAGGGGAAAGGGGCUCGUGGGGAAUUUGUUAAGUAUGGUGGUUCAAAGCUUGGCCAGCAGGUUCAAAUCCCACCCUGCCCUGACCUCUAGCAGAUCACUUACUCUCAACUCACAGCCUCUGUUUUCUCUCCAGUGAAAUGGGGUAAUAGAACCUACCCCAUACAGUGUUCUGAGGCAGGCAGUGUGGCUCGCACCCUGAGGGUUAACUGACAGAAUGAAUGUAAAGAACAUAUUAGUGUCUAGUACAUGAUAAGAAUUCAUAAAAUUACUACUACUGGUGAAAGGUGUUCAAGAGGGUUCUUCUGCGCAGAGAGCUUAAAUCCAGGAGGGGCUACUUUAAGGACACAAGUAAGUACAAAUAGGAGAGGCACUUGGCCUGGGGACAGAGCCCAGCACUGGAAAGUGGGUUGGGAGUCAUCAGUGGGAGUGGAUGGCAUGGCCAAUGGCAGCACUAGGAGCAGAGGGGGUCUUUGGUGGCCUGGGAUAGUGGUCAGAAAGGUGAGAGGAGAACUAUGUGAGUCAGGUGCACCCGGGAGGGCCCCAGCUCACCUCCCAGACUCCCCUGGUUUCCAGGCUUCAGUGACCCUUCUCCCUUAGCAGAGUCCUAGGCCAGAGGCCGGUCUGGGGCUGCCCCCACACCUUCCCAGAGGUUACUGGAUGGGUUUGAAUGAGUAAAUCUAGAGAAAAUAAAGUGUAAUAAGUAACACUAAUCCUAGGCACCAAGUCUUAUGAUUAUCCCCCUUUUUUACAGGGGCAUUUCUCAGGGGUCAGAGAGGUUAUGUGACCUGUGCAACACCACACAGCUAGUAAUGGUCAAGGCUGUGAUAAAACCCAGAAAGCCUGAAUCUAGGAAGGAGGCCAUGAAGCCGUGCUGUGCAUGCAAGGGCCUGGCUAGCAGGUGGGCACUGUCUUUGUGGGUGAACGGCUGUCCUUGAAUCCGUUGGAAGGAAGUACUUUAGAGUCUCCUUUAUACCCUUCCACCGCCCACUACCCUCUAGGGGGUGACUGUCCACCCGCUGCACAGCCCCUGUCUUGCCAUCCGCCAGAGCCUGUUGUCAAGAAUAGCCGCUCCGACUGUCGUCACUGCGGUGACCGCCAGGGGUCGCCUCGGACGCGCGAACUGCGACUGGGGAGACAACGCUGUGGUCUGGAAGGCACCGGGUCUAGGAAGCCAGGAAGGGGCACACCCACCUCUGCCCCCACCCCCACCCCGCAAUUCCUCUGACUUUCCUCCCUCUGUCCUUCCCGCGCACGCCGCAGGGCAACAGAACCAAUGUGAAGUCUGCCUAUUCCUCCUUUCCUUGAGCACUUUUUCUGAGCACCGACUGUAUACCAGACGGUACCCCUAGAGGUGCUCUGGAGGUAACAGAUGCAGGGUUGAGCAGGACAGGACACAGAAAGCACAAGCUCUGUGAGGGAGGGACAUUUUGUCAACUUUGUUCACUUGCAGCUUCUGGCACACAGAAACGCCUUCGGUACUGAAAGCACUGUUGGUGUUUACGGCCUGUUCAGACACCUUUAAUUAAAAAGGUGAUUGCACAAUUAACUGAUGACUGUUGUGAGUGCUCCAGAGGAGAUAUGCCAGGCCCAGGCUGUCCUACUUAACCAGCUGGCUCUUAAUCUUCCCAAAUGCCACAAACUUCAUUGCCCUCAAUUUACCCCUGGGAAGACUGAGGGACAGAGGACAGUCUAGACAGCCAUACCCUUUCUUACUUUGGGGGAGUCCCAGCCUGCAACAUUCUGCCCCUACUCUUUGGUUACCUCGUGUUCACGGUUCAGGUCUCCAGCAAAGGGCACCUCCUCCAGGAAGCCUUCCCUGAUCGUCUUCCCAACUCCCUGCUCCCCUGGUUAUGAGUCUGUCUCCCCUGCUGACUGCGAAACCCUGAGGACGGGAAGCAUGUGGACUCCGUUCCUCCUCAUCUACCUUUAGUACCUGGCUCUGCCUGGCAAAGGGUCAAAAGCAAAUGAACGUUGGUUGAAUGAAUAAAUGAGAGCAUACUGAGCAGAGUGGAAAGGUGAGUGGCCCUGGGGCAUUAUGGGUAACAUCCUUCUCACCAGUACUCAUGUCUGCAGCACGCUGGUAGGAGAGGCAGAGCGUGUGAGGAUCCUGGAGGCUGACUUUAUGGUGCUGCGGGGCGACUGGCGGGUCCUCCUCUGCCCGUGCCCCGCUCCCUGUGCCUCUCGCAUGAUGCUGUCACAUUCUAUGGCAGAAUUUUGUGUCUGUCUCAAAUGGGUGUGGGUUUUGGAGUCAAUUCAUUUGGAGUGCAACCAGGUGAACGUUGCUGAGCCUGUUUCCUCAUCUGCAAAAGUGAUGGAAGAGAGCCUGCCAGGAAGUCACUGUGAGGAUUCCAGUGAGUGGGAUCACUGGGUAAUGCCUCCAGCCCACGGCCCGGCACAGAGUAGGCACCGGCACACCCCAGCAGUGCACCCUAGGGCUGGCAGGUUGUUUCUGCAGGCCUCCACCCCCCAUCUGGAAAGGAGGUUAACGAGAGCCCCAGCAACUGAGGAACAUGGUUUAAGGCAGACAGAACUCAGCCCAGCAGCUGGCACCUAGCAGAACCAAGCCUGCUGGCAAGAGUGCAUCCGGAAGGAGGCCGCAGCCCGGGUCGCCUGGAAGAUCCACUAUGGCCACAAGUACCUAAAGGGGGGGCCCACGCCCAGGAAGCGGGUCCAGCGGGCCCCCUUCGGCUCAGCCUUGGCUGCCACCAGCUCCCCUGAGAGCAAGGAGGUACAGGUCGGGUGGCCAGAGUCCAAGGGGGUCAGGGAUCAGCUGUCUGGGGGAGGGGGUGUCCAGGGCCCGUCACCCAAGGGAAACAAAGUCUGGGAGGCCCAAAGAGCAACUCAAGGGCCGUCAGUCCAGCCCAAGCCAGAGGGCUUAGAAAUGAGGCAGGUUCCCCCCAGCACCCUGCAGUUGUUCUUCCAAGGCCUCUCUCACGAUGGCCAAGGCCGGGCCUUGUACCUCCGGGAGCGGCAUCGCCAGAAGCCUGAGGAGAAGUUUCUGUACCCGAUCCUGUCAUCCUGGGAGUAUGGCUGGCACAUGGGGGACACAGGUGCCAUGAAGGACACCAGGGCUCCGACUUAUGCCAGGCGCCAGCCCAUCACAAAGACCUUUUACAUCAAAAGCGGCGUCUUCCAUUUUCCACGGCGAACAGACCAGCUAAUGUGAGCUCACUGGGGGUUCAGAAGCUGCUCCUGCCUCUUCCUAUCGUCUGUGUGGACCCUGCCGAGCAGAGAUGCCGCCAGCCCCAGCCACCCUCCCUCUGUUGUGUCCAGCCCUGUCUCCUGUCUACCCUGGGCACCCCUCCGGGAUUCAGGGUGGCCCACCUGCUGCCUCUUGUAUGUCCUCAGAGAAUCAGCUCCUUGCAGAGCCCCCAAACCCUCCAUCACCAGCAACGUGUAGGGUGAUAGCUGCUCUCCUGGGGGAAACAGUGGGGUCUCCCACGUGCUCCAG